GAUGAACGCUGGCGGCGUGCCUAAUACAUGCAAGUCGAGCGAACGGACGAGAAGCUUGCUUCUCUGAUGUUAGCGGCGGACGGGUGAGUAACACGUGGAUAACCUACCUAUAAGACUGGGAUAACUUCGGGAAACCGGAGCUAAAACCGGAUAAUAUUUUGAACCGCAUGGUUCAAAAGUGAAAGACGGUCUUGCUGUCACUUAUAGAUGGAUCCGCGCUGCAUUAGCUAGUUGGUAAGUUAACGGCUUACCAAGGCAACGAUGCAUAGCCGACCUGAGAGGGUGAUCGGCCACACUGGAACUGAGACACGGUCCAGACUCCUACGGGAGGCAGCAGUAGGGAAUCUUCCGCAAUGGGCGAAAGCCUGACGGAGCAACGCCGCGUGAGUGAUGAAGGUCUUCGGAUCGUAAAACUCUGUUAUUAGGGAAGAACAUAUGUGUAAGUAACUGUGCACAUCUUGACGGUACCUAAUCAGAAAGCCACGGCUAACUACGUG
rnacentral:rRNA from 1 species